UCCGGUUUAUCACCGGCAGUCUCCAUAGAGUUCUCGGCUUUACCCGUUAGUAACUAUUCACAAGGGUUGCGCUCGUUGAUGGACUUAACCAAACAUCUCACGACACGAGCUGACGACGGCCAUGCGUCACCUGUCACUUGGUUCAAUAAAGCACUCACUGCUUUCGCAGUAAUUCCAAGGAUGUCAAACCCUGGUAAGGUUCUUCGGUUAUCAUCGAAUUAAUGAACAUGAUCCGCUACUUGUGCGGACCCCCGUCAAUUCCUUUAUGUUUUAGUCUUGCGACCGUACUCCACAGGCGGGAUACUUAACGCGUUAGCUUCGCUACUGAAGGGGUCGAUACCUCCAACAGCUAGUAUCCAUCGUUUACGGCGUGGACUAC
rnacentral:misc_RNA from 1 species